CCAAUUGGAGUCCCUUUUUCCCCCACGAAGCAGCCCUAUCGGGCGCUGCCGCCCCUUCCGCCGCCGCCCCUGCCUCGCCGCCAGGACCGCCCCUCCCUCGCCGACUCGCCGCCCGCGCAGCCGCACAACCGCACCUCCCCGUGUUGCCACUCCCGCAUCCAGCCGUCCCGCGCGACCUCUGCUGGCGCCUGGGGGGAGGGUACGCCGCCGCCUGGUUCAAAUCUGACCACCCUGCUCUAGUACAGCGCCUGCCAGACCUCCCUCCGCUUGGCCAGUCCAGGUGCAGCCAACCAGGACGACCAGGACGCCCGACGGUCACCUCUAGACCUCCCUCCGCUCCAGAUCAGGACGCUCGGCCGACGCUGGCAAGAUCUCUCUCUGCUCUUCUGUGCCUCCCCAUUCUUCUAUCAAUGAUCAAUCUAUCCUAGCAUAAAGCAUCCAUAUGUGAUUUUUUUGAAGUACAGAAUCAAACUGUGUUGUUUUUGCUGUCCUGAUGAAAAUUGUUGAUAAAUAAUGAGAGGUAUUGGAGAAAAGAAUUAGAUAUUGGUAUUGGUAUUUGGUAAUUACCAUUUGUUUGAUUGUUAUCAUAUUUGCUAUCCAGUACAUGAAAACACGGUCAUGAGAAAUCAUACACAUAAUUUACUAUAUCCAGUACAUGAACAGUUGACCAGUGACAUGAUAACGAUUUGUGUGAUUGUUUGCCAUUCUAACAAGUUACUCUAACAGUGCCACUCUACCAAAGUAACAAGGCCACAUAGUCUUCUUUGAACUUCUAAAGGUAUUAAUUAUGUACAGUUCUCUUAUGCAAAAUUGAUAAUUUUAGUAUGCAUGUAAGACCAUAUUGAUCUAUUUGUAUGUGCUAUUGUUAAAUUAAUCAGAACGUUGGCAUUUCAUAUAUGUUGCCACUUUUUUUGGUGGACUGCCCUGUUUUGAAAUCCACCACUGCAUUGUUGUCAGAUAUGUUAUUUUUGCCCCCUGUCACUCAAAGCAGUUACUAUAUUUAUUUUUGUUACACAGUGUAUCAAUGGAUUUAGAAUCUAUAAAGGAGCUAUUGCUUUCUCCUAGACCAAGUGAGGAAUGCUUGGCUGGUGUAGCUGGUUUUCUUGACUUUGCGUACAUAGAGGGCAAGUCAAAGAAUAAUUUUAAGGCACGACUUGACCUGCAGGACAUGAAAAUCAGGCCAGAGCUACAUCCUAAAAAUAAACCUACCGACGAGUAUUUUCUUCUAGCUGCUUCUUAUACCAUGUCAAAGAAAGAGAAGCAUCAGUUUUUCAAAGUACUUCAUGAUAUAAAAGUUCCAGAUAGUUACUUGGGGAACUAAAAAAACAGAAGGAACAGUUUUGCAAAGUACUUCGUGAUAGAAAAGUUCCAGACGGGUAUUUGGAGGAAUGAGGAAAUUUUGCCAGCGGAGAUUAGAAGGAUUGUUCUAAAAGGGUGCAUGAAGCUAUGCGCUCUUUUAGGACAUUUUUAUGUCUGCAUAGUUUUUGCUCUUCAAACAUGAAGCUUGAAAAAAAUACGAAACUUUGUACUGAGUUAAGCUUUAUGUAAGACGGAUUGUCAUUGGAAAUAGAUAGACACAUUUUUGUCAAAGAACUAUUAUGUCAAAUUUACCAUCUUUCAAACUAAGCUUAUGUCUGUUUGAAAUUGAUGUUUUGGUUUA